rnacentral:rRNA from 1 species
UACGAAGGAGGCUAGCGUUGUUCGGAAUUACUGGGCGUAAAGCGCGUGUAGGCGGGCCGUUAAGUCGGGGGUGAAAGCCCAGAGCUCAACUCUGGAACUGCCUUCGAUACUGGCGGCCUGGAGCAUGAUAGAGGCGAGUGGAAUUGCGAGUGUAGAGGUGAAAAUCGUAGAUAUUCGCAGGAAAACCAGUGGCGAAGGCGACUCGUUGGAUCAUUGCUGACGCUGAGACGCGAAAUCGUGGGGAGCAAACAGG